CCCGUGCCCCCUGCUCGAGGCUUGCUGCUCUGCAUCUUGGCUCUGCAGCUCUGUCUUCAGGACUCUCUUGCCACAGCAGCGCACGGCACAGCUGCCAAUACCAUGGUGACGGCCACCAAGGACAC